rnacentral:rRNA from 1 species
GAUGAACGCUGGCGGCGUGCCUAAUACAUGCAAGUCGAGCGAACGGACGAGAAGCUUGCUUCUCUGAUGUUAGCGGCGGACGGGUGAGUAACACGUGGAUAACCUACCUAUAAGACUGGGAUAACUUCGGGAAACCGGAGCUAAUACCGGAUAAUAUUUUGAACCGCAUGGUUCAAAAGUGAAAGACGGUCUUGCUGUCACUUAUAGAUUGAUCCGCGCUGCAUUAGCUAGUUGGUAAGGUAACGGCUUACCAAGGCAACGAUGCAUAGCCGACCUGAGAGGGUGAUCGGCCACACUGGAACUGAGACACGGUCCAGACUCCGACGGGAGGCAGCAGUAGGGAAUCUUCCGCAAGGGGCGAAAGCCUGACGGAGCAACGCCGCGUGAGUGAUGAAGGUCUUCGGAUCGUAAAACUCUGUUAUUAGGGAAGAACAUAUGUGUAAGUAACUGCGCACAUCUUGACGGUACCUAAUCAGAAAGCCACGGCUAACUACGUG